UACGUAGGGACCAAGCGUUGUUCGGAUUUACUGGGCGUAAAGGGCGCGUAGGCGGCGUGGUAAGUCACUUGUGAAAUCUCUGAGCUUAACUCAGAACGGCCAAGUGAUACUGCUGUGCUCGAGUGUGGAAGGGGCAAUCGGAAUUCUUGGUGUAGCGGUGAAAUGCGUAGAUAUCAAGAGGAACACCUGAGGUGAAGACGGGUUGCUGGGCCAACACUGACGCUGAUGCGCGAAAGCCAGGGGAGCAAACGGG
rnacentral:rRNA from 1 species